AUGAGGGGGCAAUGACGAAGGGAUGUGAGGGGCGCUGCCUGAAACCCAAGGAAUGUAUUUCUUCCCGCACCCAAACGAAGCGGCCAGGCAAACGAACGGAUUCCCGCUUGCUCCUCCCUUAUCUGUGUGUGGCCUGUAGGAGGCAACCUCUCCCGUGGAGGAGGAAGAGAAGCAGAGAGCGGCUUGUGAUAGGCGGCCUCUUGGCCGUUUAGCUCCCGGCGGUGGGACCGCGAUGGCUGAGGAGCGAGGGCCGCGAGCGCCGCAAAAUGGGGCCUCCAGCCACCGCGCAGGACUCUCCGCCCGCUAUUUUUGCACGGCGGGACGCGGGAUGGAGCCGUUCCUGGUGAGGGAGGUGCAGACUCGGCUGGACGCCGCGCAGGUGGAAUACGUAUCGGGAAAAGUUUUCUUUACCACCAGUGCUGCGUUCAGCAUGCUGAAGAAGCUGAAGUCUGCUGAGCGGUUGUUUUUGCUGAUGAAUAAAUAUCCUCCACUUUCCAUCUCUAGAAAUAAAGGAAGAGUAAUUCAUGACAUUCAAAGACUUGUAAAUGAGACUCCCAGGCAUUGGCUGGAUCUUGUUACCCUUUGGAGAAGUCUUCAUUGUCAGGAGGUGAAACAAGAAAACAUGUGUGAGGAGUAUCCAGACUCCCAAAAAUGGAAAUUGGAAGAAGAGAGGAGUAUCAAAAAUAAAAAACAGAAGACAGAACGAGUAUCAGAGACAGUUUCUGAUGAAACUCAAAUAGAAAACCAGCAGAGCUGUGACACCUCAGGGGUUCACAAAGAUAAUGUUUUGUCUUGGGGCAGAUCAUUUCUGGGAAAGACUCCUGAACUUAUUCAAGAGAAAUCUAUUGAGAACAGCAGUUGCUUCAGCUUCAGAGUGUCCUGCCGCUGUAGUGGAGCACUUGCAAAAAUAUUUACUUCUCAGGAGAUAGGGAGAAUAAUUGGAACAGCUCUUAUGAAGAGUUUUGGAUGGAAAGCAGAUUUGAGAAAUCCUGAUAUAGAGAUCUUUGUGCAUCUAAAUGAUAUUUAUUCUGUGAUUGGGAUUCCUGUUUUCAGACUUCCCUUGGCAAACAGAGUAUAUAUCAAAACAGCUGGGUUGCGAUCUACCAUCGCUUGGGCUAUGACAUCCCUUGCUGAAAUCAAGGCUGGUGCCUUUGUGUUGGAUCCUUCAUGUGGUCUAGGAACAAUACUCCUGGAAGCAGCAACUGAAUGGCCUAAUGUGCAUUAUUUGGGAUCAGACAUAAGUGAUUCCCAGUUACAAGGAGCCUACUCUAAUAUUAAAACUGCAGGCCUGAUGGAUAAAAUCGAGUUACUGAAAGCUUCUGUGACAGACCUACGGCUGGCUUGUCAACUUCGACAAAAGCCAUCUUCAACCGACCCAAUGCCUACUCCAUCUAGGGGCGAUGUUGGACACUCUGCAGGCGAUGGUGUUUCUGUCUCCAGAUCGCAUAACUGCCAUCACAAAGAUUGCGGGGUCCUUGAUGCAACAAACAACUGCAGACGUCAUGCUUCUAGCCAGGGCACUCGGAAUGUUCAUCUCUACCAUCCAUAUUGUGCCAUGGGCUCAAGCCCACUCUCGCCACCUUCAGUGGGCUUUGUUGCCUUUUCAACAGGACAUUGCCAACUCCAAUCAUCACACAGUUCCUCUGAGCCCCGCACUGCGCCUUUCAUUCCGCUGGUGAACGAGGGUCCAACAUCUUUCCAGGGGCACUCCGUUCAGAGAACCACGCAGGACUGUUGUCACCACGGAUGCCAGUCUCAUGGGCUGGAGAGCACACUGUAACUCCCAGUAUGCUCAGGGGGUCUGGUCCAGAAGAGCAGACUCAGAGCAUCAAUUGGCUGGAGCUCAAGGCGGUCCACUUAGCUCUACUUCAUUUUCAGUCUCUGUUCCCUUUGGACCAUGUCCUCAUUCGAAUGGACAACACGUGUGUAAAGUCACAUUUGAACAGACAGGGGGGCACCAGGUCCCGUCCUCUGCAGGACCUAGCUUCCCUCAUCUUCGUCUGGGCAGAACAACAUCUACAAUCCCUAAAAGCAGAGCAUCUCAGAGGGAUUUGGAAUGUGACAGCAGACUGGCUCAGCAGACAACAGGUCUUUCCGGGAGAAUGGAAACUUCAUCCGACCAUUUUCCAUCGUCUCCAGCGUCGGUUCGGCGUCUUUUCAAUCGACCUGUUUGCUUCCAGUCGCAAUUACCAGCUUCCCAGGUACUUUGCUCGAUACCUGGACACAACAGUGGAAGCAGUGGAUGCUUUGUCAAUACCGUGGCCAGAGGGUCUUUUGUACGCCUUCCCUCCCAUACCGCUGUUAGCCAAAACUUUGCGGAAGGCGCAGAGCGAGAGGGCACAGUUGGUUCUGAUAGCACCAUAUUGGCCACGCCGACCGUGGUUCUCAGAUCUUCUUGCAGUGUCGGUGAUGGAUCCUUGGACACUGCCAGUCAGGCCAGAUCUUCUAUCCCAGGGUCCAGUAUGGCAUCAGGACCCCACUUGGCUCAAUCUAACAGCGUGGCGUUUGAACGGGGACAUUUGAGGUCGGCUGGCCUGUCUGACGCUGUUAUUGAUAUUAUCUUAGCCUCGAGACGACCAUCUACCACCCGUAUUUAUCAACAUACUUGGGUGGCUUUCUCCAAGUGUUGCCAGUCUCAUCACUGCGAUCCAUCCCAGGCCACUAUGCAUCAGGUGCUGCAAUAUCUCCAUAGCGGCUUUAUGAUGGGACUCAGACCCAACACUCUACGUCGACAUGCGUCCACUCUGUCGUCCAUUCUCUCAGUGUCCUCCACUGGUGCCCCUAUUUCCUCACAUCCGUGCAUUAAACGCUUCCUCAGAGGCACUGCUUUACGUUCACCGGCCGUAGUUCACCGUUUUCCCUCAUGGAGUCUGUCCAAGGUCCUCCAAGCUUUACAACGCUCUCCGUUUGAACCCCUUAGGACUGUGCCUUUACGUCUACUGUCCUUCAAGGUCUUGUUCCUGGUCGCCAUCACUUCUGUCAGACGGGUUUCAGAACUGGGCGCAUUGUCUUCUGCCCGCUAUCUCUGUGUCUUUCACAAGGACUCUGUUGUGCUGAAAACUGAUCCUUCCUUCCGUCCCAAGGUCAAUUCAGUUUUUCAUUGCAAUCAGGACAUUGUACUCCCUUCGUUUUGCCCGAACCCCACUCAUCCUCUAGAGAAGGCUUGGCAUUCGUUGGAUGUUCAGAGGGCUCUCAAGACCUACCUGUCUAGGACCCAGGAGAUUCGACGAACGGAGUCUCUGUUUGUAUCCUUUCAUCCAAGGUCUAUGGGGCAUAAAGUAACCAAUUCUACCUUAUCCCGUUGGUUAAGGGCAUGUAUUACCUUAGCAUAUGAGUCCCUUAAGCUGCCAGUUCCAGCUAGUAUAACAGCUCAUUCUACUAGGUCAGCUGCCACUUCGGCUGCUUUUGCUACUAAUGCUCCUGUUGCUGAUAUUUGCAGGGCUGCUGUUUGGUCUACCCCACACUCGUUUAUAAGGCAUUAUAAAAUAGAUCGUUAUGCCUCUGCCGAUGCCUCUUUUGGCAGACGAGUGUUGCAACAGGUUCUUAAUGACGAUUAGCAUGUGGGUGGUCCCUCCCUAUUAUGGGCUGCUUUGGUACAUCCCGCAGUGAUGGCCGGCCUCAUAUGGAAAAUGGACCAUUGGUCUCACCUGAAGGGAGAUUUUCAUAUGAGGACGGCCAUCACGACCCUCCCAGUUGGAGGAUGUAUAGAUAUUUUACUAAGAUGUUAUACAUUACUGUUACGCUAUUGUAUUUAAAGUUACUAGUGAACUCAAGACUGCUAGUUCUGUUAUAUCGCUGUGUUAGAGUCAUGUUAUUAUGCAUGUUAUUUUCCUGCUUGCAGGCCUGUUGGCCCUGUUCUUGUAUUUUCAGAUUUUUCUCUAUAGACUCGCUGCGAAUGAACUGGAGAGUGGGAGGGGCUUGACGCCCCUAGUCUUGACUUCAAAAAACAUUCUUGCCUUCGCACGAUAGGUGGAGCUAAUACCCGCAGUGAUGUCCGUCCUCAUAUGAAAAUCACCCUUCAGCGUUGCCAUUGCCGUCGGAAAGCAUUGAUGUUGUUCUGGCAGAUAUCCCCUUUG